rnacentral:rRNA from 1 species
AAUCCAUAGGUUAAUGAGGCGAACCGGGGGAACUGAAACAUCUAAGUACCCCGAGGAAAAGAAAUCAACCGAGAUUCCCCCAGUAGCGGCGAGCGAACGGGGAGGAGCCCAGAGCCUGAAUCAGCAUGUGUGUUAGUGGAAGCGUCUGGAAAGGCGCGCGAUACAGGGUGACAGCCCCGUACACAAAAGCGCAUGUGCUGUGAGCUCGAUGAGUAGGGCGGGACACGUGGUAUCCUGUCUGAAUAUGGGGGGACCAUCCUCCAAGGCUAAAUACUCCUGACUGACCGAUAGUGAACCAGUACCGUGAGGGAAAGGCGAAAAGAACCCCGGCGAGGGGAGUGAAAAAGAACCUGAAACCGUGUACGUACAAGCAGUGGGAGCACAGGUUUACCUGUGUGACUGCGUACCUUUUGUAUAAUGGGUCAGCGACUUAUAUUCUGUAGCAAGGUUAACCGAAUAGGGGAGCCGGAGGGAAACCGAGUCUUAACCGGGCGUUAAGUUGCAGGGUAUAGACCCGAAACCCGGUGAUCUAGCCAUGGGCAGGUUGAAGGUUGGGUAACACUAACUGGAGGACCGAACCGACUAAUGUUGAAAAAUUAGCGGAUGACCUGUGGCUGGGGGUGAAAGGCCAAUCAAACCGGGAGAUAGCUGGUUCUCCCCGAAAGCUAUUUAGGUAGCGCCUCGUGAAUUCAUCUCCGGGGGUAGAGCACUGUUUCGGCUAGGGGGCCAUCCCGGCUUACCAACCCGAUGCAAACUGCGAAUACCGGAGAAUGUUAUCACGGGAGACACACGGCGGGUGCUAACGUCCGUCGUGAAGAGGGAAACAACCCAGACCGCCAGCUAAGGUCCCAAAGUCAUGGUUAAGUGGGAAACGAUGUGGGAAGGCCCAGACAGCCAGGAUGUUGGCUUAGAAGCAGCCAUCAUUUAAAGAAAGCGUAAUAGCUCACUGGUCGAGUCGGCCUGCGCGGAAGAUGUAACGGGGCUAAACCAUGCACCGAAGCUGCGGCAGCGAACGUAUCACCCAAGACAACUUUGCGGAGUUGACGAUUGACGGAGCGAAGCGACGUCAAAGCGUUCAUUAAAGUCGAGUUGGCUUAGGGAUACGUUCGUUGGGUAGGGGAGCGUUCUGUAAGCCUGUGAAGGUGGCCUGUGAGGGUUGCUGGAGGUAUCAGAAGUGCGAAUGCUGACAUAAGUAACGAUAAAGCGGGUGAAAAGCCCGCUCGCCGGAAGACCAAGGGUUCCUGUCCAACGUUAAUCGGGGCAGGGUGAGUCGACCCCUAAGGCGAGGCCGAAAGGCGUAGUCGAUGGGAAACGGGUUAAUAUUCCCGUACUUGGUGUUACUGCGAAGGGGGGACGGAGAAGGCUAUGUUGGCCGGGCGACGGUUGUCCCGGUUUAAGCGUGUAGGUGUGUGUUCCAGGUAAAUCCGGUUCACUUUAACACUGAGGCGUGACGACGAGGCACUACGGUGCUGAAGCAACAAAUGCCCUGCUUCCAGGAAAAGCCUCUAAGCAUCAGGUAACAUCAAAUCGUACCCCAAACCGACACAGGUGGUCAGGUAGAGAAUACCAAGGCGCUUGAGAGAACUCGGGUGAAGGAACUAGGCAAAAUGGUGCCGUAACUUCGGGAGAAGGCACGCUGACACGUAGGUGAAGUGAUUUACUCAUGGAGCUGAAGUCAGUCGAAGAUACCAGCUGGCUGCAACUGUUUAUUAAAAACACAGCACUGUGCAAACACGAAAGUGGACGUAUACGGUGUGACGCCUGCCCGGUGCCGGAAGGUUAAUUGAUGGGGUCAGCGCAAGCGAAGCUCCUGAUCGAAGCCCCGGUAAACGGCGGCCGUAACUAUAACGGUCCUAAGGUAGCGAAAUUCCUUGUCGGGUAAGUUCCGACCUGCACGAAUGGCGUAAUGAUGGCCAGGCUGUCUCCACCCGAGACUCAGUGAAAUUGAACUCGCUGUGAAGAUGCAGUGUACCCGCGGCAAGACGGAAAGACCCCGUGAACCUUUACUAUAGCUUGACACUGAACAUUGAGCCUUGAUGUGUAGGAUAGGUGGGAGGCUUUGAAGCGUGGACGCCAGUCUGCGUGGAGCCGACCUUGAAAUACCACCCUUUAAUGUUUGAUGUUCUAACGUGGACCCGUAAUCCGGGUUGCGGACAGUGUCUGGUGGGUAGUUUGACUGGGGCGGUCUCCUCCUAAAGAGUAACGGAGGAGCACGAAGGUUGGCUAAUCCUGGUCGGACAUCAGGAGGUUAGUGCAAUGGCAUAAGCCAGCUUGACUGCGAGCGUGACGGCGCGAGCAGGUGCGAAAGCAGGUCAUAGUGAUCCGGUGGUUCUGAAUGGAAGGGCCAUCGCUCAACGGAUAAAAGGUACUCCGGGGAUAACAGGCUGAUACCGCCCAAGAGUUCAUAUCGACGGCGGUGUUUGGCACCUCGAUGUCGGCUCAUCACAUCCUGGGGCUGAAGUAGGUCCCAAGGGUAUGGCUGUUCGCCAUUUAAAGUGGUACGCGAGCUGGGUUUAGAACGUCGUGAGACAGUUCGGUCCCUAUCUGCCGUGGGCGCUGGAGAACUGAGGGGGGCUGCUCCUAGUACGAGAGGACCGGAGUGGACGCAUCACUGGUGUUCGGGUUGUCAUGCCAAUGGCACUGCCCGGUAGCUAAAUGCGGAAGAGAUAAGUGCUGAAAGCAUCUAAGCACGAAACUUGCCCCGA